AAAUAGAACUUUGCAGAGAGAGUUAACAGGGCGUGAAACCGUUAAUUGGCAAACGAAUCGGAGCCACGAAGUCGUUUCGCUGAUAGUUGAAUCAGGUUCAGCUUAGGAGGAAACUCUUGGGUGUAUUCUUGUUUGUUCAACCAUCUUUGUAAGCGUACACUGCAACCAGUUAGACAAUUGGUGAUGGGCCCAGUUGCUAUCCAAGUUAGUAGUAGUGUGUUUGUGCCUCGGUGCUUGCAUGUUGCUGGGCUUGUUUGAUAAGUGAACUAUCGACCAAAUACUGACUGGCACAAUGAAAAUCGCCCCAUUUGGGUGUUUUAUAGAAUGCGCUUAUCGGCAUUAGUGUCUACAUGUGCGACUAUUGGGUCUUAAGCUCAGCAUUUUUGAAUUUGGACUUGCUCGCUACCAAUUGGGUAAAACCUUGGUGCUUGUAUAGCUUUCAUCUAAUCGGGUGUUGACUUGGCCUAGUAUCGUUCGUAUAUGAAUCGUUUGGAUAUUAAUGCCAGGUAAGUCGCCAUUUGAUUGGCAGUGAGUAGGUCGGCUUUCCGAACGACCCGUCUUGAAACACGGACCAAGGAGUCUAAUUAGGCAUCGAGUCGAUCGGUCUUGAAUAGGCCAGAUAGUUAGUUUCUAACAAAUGAAGGCGUAGAGACAAUCAUGUGAUCGUUGAGGCAACAACAGCCUUUUACGCGCAACAUGUGCCUGUUCGUAUAACAAUUGUAGCAAUAAUUGUUGAGCGGAGCAAAGAGAUGCUUGAUUGGUACCCGAAAGAUGGUGAUGCCUGGGCAAAUUGAAGCCAGAGGAAACUCUGGUGGAGGAUUGUAGCGAUUCUGACGUGCAAAUCGAUCGUCAGACCUGGGUAUAGGGGCGAAAGACUAAUCGAACCAUC
rnacentral:rRNA from 1 species